rnacentral:rRNA from 1 species
AAUGAACGCUGGCGGCGUGCCUAAUACAUGCAAGUCGAACGCUAACGGAGGAGCUUGCUGUUCUGGCUGAGUUGCGAACGGGUGAGUAACGCGUAGGCAACCUGCUUGGUAGCGGCGGAUGACUAUUGGAAACGAAAGCUACUACCGCAUGACAUACGUUCUUGGAUGGUAACUGUUUAAACGUGGCAACUGCCGCACUACAAGAUGGCGCUGCGUUGUAUUAGCUAGUUGGUGAGGUAACGGCACACCAAGGCGACGAUACAUAGCGGGUCUGAGAGGGUGAUCAGCCACACUGGAACUGAGACACGGCCCAGACUCCUACGGGAGGCAGCAGUGGGGAAUCUUCGGCAAUGGACGGAAGUCUGACCGAGCAAUGCCGCGUGGGUGAAGAAGGUUUUCGGAUCGUAAAGCUCUGUUGUAAGGGAAGAACAGGAGCAGGUGUAGAAAGCGCACUCUUGAAGGUAACCUAACCAGAAACGGCGGGCUAAUUACUG